ensembl:lncRNA uncharacterized LOC107596202
GAAUUUCCAGUACUUUCCAGAGCUCAGCUGUGGGGUUUCCUGUAAACAAAUGCUGUCGCACGUUCAUUCACACACAGAACAGAUCGACAGCACAGCACAGACAUUUUCGGUGAGGAUUUUUAAAUAAUCUCACUCAAACAGAUCAAAUGAAACGUACUAGAAGAACCAGAAAAAACUGUGUGGUAGUAAACCCAAACAAGGAAGAGCUGAGAAGCGUGAGAAAGACAGUUAUACAGUGGAAUGGAAGAGGAAGGACAAUAAUGGGAACUGGUAUUUGUUAUUUAUUAACCAUUUUUACAUUUUGAAUGGCAAAUUAUUAAUACAUUUGUUUAUAAAUAUAUUCACAACCAUUGAAAAAUGACUUUCACUUUCACUUUGUCCUGAGAAUACUAUGACGCAUCAUGCCUAAUCAAUGCUUCAGUUACUCUUAUUGCACAUUUCACGUUAUAAUGCUCAAAAAACGUCCAAUUAUUAUUCUGUAGGAAAUUCACAGGUGUACGAUUUGACUGAUGAUCUCAGCCAGGAGGGAAGUGUUUUAAAGGUGAGAAUACUUUUACGUUGAAUACAUUCUUGGCUUGUAACUACGAUGUUGCAUCAUUAAAUAUACAAAAGAUCCUUAAAAAGCUGCUUAAAAAUAGCAGGUUACCAUAAAGACAGUAAUGUCUAAUGGAGCGCUAUUGCUGGCAGUGCUUUUGGUUAAAUCACUGGAUUAAACUGAUCAAAUGUGUCACUGUAUCUUUUGUCUGUUGUGUGAAGGCGCUUUCUCCUCUCUCUCAAACUCAAUCAUUAAUGAAUAACCAAUCCGUAAAGACUUCUGGAUCUCAGGAAGAUGGAAACAAUCUAGAUCCCACAAACACAUGCCCGGUUUGUUUCUCUGCACUUAAACCUGCAUAUAUAAAAGGUACUACUGAUAAACUGCUUCAGUGCACUCGAUGCCCAACCACUCAGCUCCUCUGUGGCUCCUGCCUUUACCCCUGCACUUCUGCUGCCUGCACCAACAAGCUGUGCCCCCUCGUCUCCACACUGCUAACCUGUGAAUUGGUCUCAGAUCCAAAGAGCAGAGUGCUUGGUUGUCCAAUGUUCAGAGCCUGUCCCAAGUGUCAUAAUCUGAUUAUGCACGAAAAAGGAUGCAAGUUUGUAACAUGCACAAUCACAUCAUGCUUUCACCAGUUCUGUUUCAUCUGCUUGCGAAAUGAUUGUAGGAAGGAUCAUGCAAACUACUGGAAUCUAACUUGCACAAAGCCGAGAGCAGAAAGACAGAGAUUUAUGUCACCACAAACCUGAACAGAGAUUCCUCCAGGGUUGGACAUUGUCUAAAAUGCAAAUGCAAGAGUUGUCAUUUGCAAUACAGAAGUAAUCAGUAGCAGAAUUAAUUUCACAAACUCAUUCAAUAUACAAAAGAAAUAGAACAUUGCACUGAUCCCAUCUUUCCCCUGUGCUUUGAAUCUAUGCUAUCUAUGCCUUACACCUGACUGACUUGGUCUUUGGUUAGCAGGAAUAACAACUCAAGUAAACUUCAAUAAAGUACAGGAUAAUGUAGUUAAUUGCUUUUAGAUUGGUAUAAAACUUGUUGGAUUUGUGCUGAUCAAAAUACAGAAGGGAUGAAGUUGAGAUGAAGUCUGAGCACUGAAACAUAGGCAACUAAAGGCUGGAAUACACUACACAACUUUUAAAAUCUGAAUGCUAGGGAUCAUACACUGACCAACUUUGUAAACAGUCACAUACACUACCCGAUUUCCUUUGAAAUCUGUCAACUCAAAUCUGCAGGCUGGCUCUGACUUUCUGCAACUAGCAUCCACUUCUGCAGACUGUAAAUCAGGGGAGAAAUUGGGACAAAAGUAUUGUAGUAUAUUCCAGCCUUUAGAUUAUUACAUAAACCUUGGUCAUUUUUUAUCAUCACUUCAUCUCAUGCUUUUGGCUAUUUCAUGUUAUUCUUCUGUCAACCUCUCAGGCUGAUAGAAAACUUUUAGUUAAUACGGUUUUGGGUACAAUACAAAAUGCAAACUCUGCUGACAGUUUUGGAUAACAGACAAAACAGAUGUCUAUUGACAGGAUCUGGUAAAGAGACUGCAUUCAGUAUUCUGGUGUGGAGAUUCAAUCUAACUGUAUUCAUAUUAAAGUCUUACACAACAGAGUAUUGUCCAGAUUCAGGGUCCUAUUGUCAGGCACUUUAAAUCUUAGGGAAAGAAAGAUAUUUUUAAAGGCAUUAAGGUACAACUGAUAUCCAUUUGACAGAUGUGUUUAUCCACAGCAGGGACAGUCAUUUCAGGGAUAAAUCCAGGAAUAUCAUCUUAAAGGGAUUGUUCACCCAAAAAAUUUAAUUAUUUUAUUCACCAUCAUGUCCUUUAUCAUGUUAAUCUUUGAAACACAAAUUAAGAUAUUUUUAAUAAAACAUGUUUUGUCCCUUCACUGAAAGUCUAGGUAACUAAAACUUAGAAGAUACAAAAAGGUCACAAGGGCAUUGUAAAAUCCAUAUGAAUCAAGCCGUUUAAUCCAAUUCUUGUGAUUAAAUAUAUAAACGCACAUACAUAAAGCGCAUCACAUAUGGUAAAUAUGGAUGCUUGUGCAUGUGUCACGAGCUACAACAAACCUCAUUGAUUCCCAUGUAUCACACACAUUUUGAGCUUCUGUAUUCACCAAAAGUGAUGUCCAAUGUAUGUGUGUUGAUCAUUGUUGAGAUGUAAAUAAAAGGAUAAUUUUUUUAAGUGAUUUAUAUCACGUUUUUAUAUUACAUUUUAAAACUGCAUUUUGGUUCUUGUAAGGUUUGGUUACCUGAACUUUUAAUGGAGGGACAGAAACCGCUCAGGUUUCAAAAAAAAUUAGAGAUGCACCGAUUGCAAUGUUCUUGGCCGAUUCAGAUUUUUUUUGUGACCUGCCGAUACUGAUUUGUACCAAUUCUGAUUUUCUCUCUAAGAACAAUAAUUGACAGAAUAUUUAAAGAAAAAUCUAUGCAAAUUUCAAUGCAAAAAAUUAUUUACAUAAUAAAAUAAAUUAUUAAACAUUACAACUCCCCAAAUCUGGACUAAGUUACAGAUGUUCUCUCACUUAAACA